CGAGCUCGGCUCUGCCGCACCCACGCGGGGCUUGGACCCCACCUUCCCGAGGAGGGUGUGGACACCGGGGGAGGUUGGGGAGGCCUC
ensembl:miRNA